GACGAACGCUGGCGGCGUGCUUAACACAUGCAAGUCGAACGGAGUGCCUAUGAUAGAGACUUCGGUCAAUGGAUUAGGUUACUUAGUGGCGGACUGGUGAGUAACGCGUGAGGAACCUGCCUUUCAGAGGGGGACAACAGUUGGAAACGACUGCUAAUACCGCAUGACACAUCGAUGGGGCAUCCCGUUGAUGUCAAAGAUUUAUCGCUGAAAGAUGGCCUCGCGUCUGAUUAGAUAGUUGGCGGGGUAACGGCCCACCAAGUCGACGAUCAGUAGCCGGACUGAGAGGUUGACCGGCCACAUUGGGACUGAGAUACGGCCCAGACUCCUACGGGAGGCAGCAGUGGGGAAUAUUGGGCAAUGGACGCAAGUCUGACCCAGCAACGCCGCGUGAAGGAAGAAGGCUUUCGGGUGUAAACUUCUUUUGUCAGGGAAGAGCAGAAGACGGUACCUGACGAAUAAGCCACGGCUAACUACGUG
rnacentral:rRNA from 1 species